rnacentral:rRNA from 1 species
GAUGAACGCUAGCUACAGGCUUAACACAUGCAAGUCGAGGGGCAGCACAGUGUAGCAAUACACGGGUGGCGACCGGCGCACGGGUGCGUAACGCGUAUCCAACCUUCCCGUUACUCUUGGAUAGCCUUCCGAAAGGGAGAUUAAUACAAGAUGGUAUUCAAAUUCCGCAUGUUAUUUGAAUUAAAGAUUUAUCGGUAACGGAUGGGGAUGCGUGACAUUAGGUAGAUGGCGGGGUAACGGCCCACCAUGCCUACGAUGUCUAGGGGUUCUGAGAGGAAGGUCCCCCACACUGGAACUGAGACACGGUCCAGACUCCUACGGGAGGCAGCAGUGAGGAAUAUUGGUCAAUGGUCGGAAGACUGAACCAGCCAAGUAGCGUGAAGGAUGAAGGUUCUAUGGAUUGUAAACUUCUUUUAUACGGGAGUAAAAACCACCUACGUGUAGGUGCUUGUAUGUACCGUAUGAAUAAGCAUCGGCUAAACUCCGUG